rnacentral:rRNA from 1 species
UACGUAGGGGGCAAGCGUUGUCCGGAUUUAUUGGGCGUAAAGAGCGUGUAGGCGGCCAGACAGGUCCGUUGUGAAAACUCGAGGCUCAACCUCGAGACGCCGAUGGAAACCGUCUGGCUAGAGUCCGGAAGAGGAGAGUGGAAUUCCUGGUGUAGCGGUGAAAUGCGCAGAUAUCAGGAAGAACACCCGUGGCUAAGGCGGCUCUCUAGUACGGUACUGACGCUGAGACGCGAAAGCGUGGGGAGCGAACAGGAUUAAGAA